GGGCGUUUUGCCAGGUCGCAAAUACCCCCUGAUCUGCCCCUACGAGGCAGAGACCGGCGGUUCGAGCCCGUCAACGCCCA
rnacentral:tRNA from 1 species